GACUGAGUGGCUCAGUGGGUAAAAGCCUUGCCUCGUGAUUAAGAGGUUGUCGGUUCGAAUCCGGCACAGUCU
rnacentral:tRNA from 1 species